ensembl:lncRNA
GGGGUCUUAAUGGGGAUUUUGGGGUCUUAAUGGGGUUUUGGGGGUCUCUAUGGAGUAUUAUGGGGUCUCUAUGGGUUUAUGGGGGUCUCUAUGGGGUUUUUGGGGUCUCUAUGGGGUUCUGGGAGGGUCCUAAAGGCUUCUGGGGGUCUCGAAGUGCUCCCAAGAUGGCUCCGAAGCUUCGGAACUCUUCGGCAAGUUCCGCCGCUGAGUACGGCUACAUCCGGCAGCACUCGGCUACUUCCGGCAGCACUCGGCUACUUCCGGCAGCGCUCGGCUACUUUCGGCAGCGCUCGGCUACUUCCGGCAGCGCUCGUAACUGCCGCAGAGCUCGAGCACUUCCGGUAAUGCUCGGCUAUUUCCGGCAGUGCUCGGGUAUUUCCGGCAGCGCUCGGCUAUUUCCGGCAGCGCUCGGGUAUUUCCGGCCGUUCCUCACAGUAUUAAGAUUUGGGGUCGGUAAAAUAGCGAUUUUUAACCUUUUUCGAUCGGGAUUUGAGCCGAAAAAAGUGAAUUUGAAGGCAGAAAUGCGGCUGUGAGGCCUCAACGAGAGAAUUUGAGUGGAAAAAAUGAGGUUUUUGGGCCAAAAAUGUGAAGAUUUGGGUAUGAUGUGCAGCAAGCUGUGAAAAUUAAAGAGUUUGGACCCAAAAAGGAGAUUUUUAACCUCAAAAUGGGGCACUGUGCCCUAAAAUGGGGGUGGAACCUACAAUGAAAACCUACAAACCCCAUUUAUACCCAGAAACCCCAAAAACACCCCAAUUCUGCCAUAAAUGGGCUCCAUUUAUUGCCUUUGGGACUCGAGAUCCUUUGAGAGGUUCUAGGUCAUCCAACGGUGUUUUGGGGCAAAAAAGAGGGAUUUAGGUUCAAAAGUGACACUUUGGACCCCAAAAUGAAGACCCACAACCCCCAUAACCCCAAAAACACCCCAAUUUGUGCCAUAAAUGGGCUCCACUUAUUGCCUUUGGGACUCGAGAGCCUUUGAGAGGUUCUAGGUCAUCCAACGCUGUUUUGGGCCAAAAAAAGAGGGAUUUGGGUUCAAAAGUGACACUUUGGACCCCAAAAUGAAGACCCACAACCCCAAAAACCCCAAAACCACCCCAAUUUGUGCCAUAAAUGGGCUCCAUUUAUUGCCUUUGGGACUCAAAAGCCUUUGAGAGGUUCUAGGUCCUCCAACGGUGUUUUGGGGCAAAAAAGAGGGAUUUAGGUUCAAAAGUGACACUUUGGAUCCCAAAAUGAAGACCCACAACCCCAAAAACCCCAAAACCACCCCAAUUUGUGCCAUAAAUGGGCUCCAUUUA